UCCGAAAGAUCCUUGAGUCAGUCAAUCGGGCAAGUGAAGUGAUUUCCAGGCCACCUCACCACCUCCUCGUCCACGAACGACGAUCACAUCGAUAACAAGCAAGGACACACAAACAACAGUACCACCAGGGAAUUCGGCCAGUGGCGAAAAUGCAAGUGUCCACAGUCCGCUUCGUCCCGUGAGGCGGAAUGAUUCGCAUGCUGAAGCAGGCAGGGGGCGAAUCAGGAUGCCAGGGAGCGCUGACCACCAAGCACCAGACGCCGAGCGCUGCUACAUGUUUCCGGACACCCGGACGGCCGCCCUGCGCGGCCACACGCGCAGUGCGAGCCACGGAGCGGCCGCGAUGCCCUCCGGCCUGCAGGCGCGGACGUCGACCUCGCCUCACGAGGACAUGGGCUCGACGGGCUCCAUCACGUCGCGUCCGUCGGCCCUGAAGAAGGGUCACCAGCGGGCCUUCUCGCACGGCCAGAUUGGCACCAACGAGCCAGGCUCGGUCGGUCUGUCCCGCGGCCACAACCGAGUCGGCUCUCGAACCGAGUUUAUUUUGCCGCCGGGACACAGGGACGAACCGCCGCCUCCACGUCCCAGGGCCGACUCGGUUCACUUCAAACCUGGACACUCGAGACAGGCGUCGCGCAGCGAGUCCAUCUACACCCUGAGGAACCAACCGCCUCCUAAAUGGACGGAUAAGUUGUUCUUCUGGCGGCGCCGUCCGGAAGAUGAAGCGACGCGCAAGGUGCGAGUGGUGGUGCCAAACCACACGGUGCCCGAGGGCACGCCGCCCAAGCAGCACCCCAACCACGUGUUUCCGGGCAACGAGGUGCGCACCACCAAGUACACGAUGCUGUCCUUCCUGCCCAAGAACUUAUUCGAGCAGUUCCACCGUGUGGCCAAUCUUUACUUUUUGUUCAUUGUGCUCCUCAACUGGUUCCCGGCCAUCAACGCGUUCGGCAAGGAGAUCGCCAUGAUCCCGGUCGCUUUCGUGCUCGGGGUCACGGCCAUCAAGGACGCCUUUGAGGACAGGCGCCGACACAACUCGGACAAACGCAUCAACAACUCCACCUGCCGUGUUUACAACAGCGCUCAAGAGCGGUACGUCAAGACUCUCUGGAAGAAUUUAAGGGCUGGCGACCUUGUGCACUUAUCCAACAACGAGUUGAUUCCUGCUGACGUUUUGCUGCUGAGAUCAUCAGAGGAACAUGGGGUUUGCUACAUAGACACUUGCAAUCUGGACGGCGAAACCAACCUGAAACAACGCUCGGUCGUGAGAGGAUUUGAAACAAAACAAGAUGCAUUUGAAGCAAGCCAAUUCCGCAGCCACAUCGAAGUUGAUCCACCGACUACCAAAAUCUACCGCUUCCACGGCACUGUUGUCCACGAGUCAGGAGAACGUGUGCCCAUUGGCACAGACAAUCUCCUUUUACGAGAGUGUGUCUUGAAAAACACAGACUUUGUAGAGGGCAUCGUCGUUUAUGCUGGUCAUGAAACGAAAGCCAUGUUGAACAACGGAGGGCCAAGAUACAAAAGAUCUCAGUUAGAGCGUGCGAUGAACCGAGAUGUUGUUUGGUGUGUGGUCAUCCUGGUUGUCCUUUGUAUCAUUGGGGCAAUAGGUUGUAGAUUUUGGCUGUCAUCAGUCACCUCAUCAACCUAUUGGCCUCUAUUCAUUACUGAAUACUUCUCCCCGGCAUACGAAGCAGUCCUCACUUUUUGGACCUACGUCAUUAUCCUCCAGGUUAUGAUCCCACUUUCGCUGUAUGUUACAAUUGAGAUGACAAAAAUUCUUCAAGUCUAUCACAUACACAACGAUCCUUAUCUCUACGAUGCCGAACGCAAAAAGCGUGUUGAGUGCAGAGCUUUGAAUAUCACGGAGGAAUUGGGUCAAGUGCAAUACAUAUUUUCUGAUAAAACAGGCACCUUAACUGAAAACAAAAUGAUUUUCCGAAGAUGCACCAUUGAUGGUAUUGAUUACAACCAUCCGCCAAUAGCCGAAUUACAGAAUUUAAGGCCUGGAGUGACAACUCCAAUUCACCCAAAUAUGAGACUGCAGGAGGAAAUCCAGGCGCUAGAGAGAGGAAUGAGACUUUCUAUCGACAGUGCACAUACCACCAGAACUCUCAAGUCAACUCACGAGCAGAGAGUUCAAGAGUUUUUUGUUCUUUUAGCUUUGUGCAAUACGGUAGUUGUAGCAAAACACCCUCAUCAUGACAGUAUGAACGCGAGUGGUGUAAUCGAGUCCCCUAGUGUGAUAAACAUUGAAGUUCAGAGCCAAGUGUCAAGCCUGUCCCAUUCAAAAACAAACUCAGUUGUUGACAAGUAUUCCCGACUGAACGAGUCGCGCUCUGUGACCCCCUCGCCAACAAGCACCAUCAGGCCUAGGAUUUUGGACUUGACAGGCCAAUCCUCUUUAUCCCCAAUUUGUUCUUCGAGUGAAAGCACGCCCUUAGGCACCCCUUCACCAAAGCCAGUCAAGAGGCUGACCAAUUUUCUCCGCGUGGGAAGGUCGAACAAACACAACCACUCGCCAGCUGUGACUCCAUCGCCGUCAGGAGAGAAAAAGCCCAUUUACGAGGCAGAAAGUCCCGAUGAGCUGGCGCUUGUUGAUGCUGCUUACACUUACAACUGCAGACUACUCAAGAGAGUAGGGAACACUGCGCUGAUUUCCGUGCCUGGUGAGGGCAUAGUUGAGUAUGAGGUGGUUCAAAUUUUGCCUUUCGACUCGUCCAGAAAGUCAAUGUCCGUGGUCGUCAGACAUCCAGUCAGCAAACAGCUAACUCUGUACACCAAAGGCGCUGAUUCAACAAUCUUGUGUCAAUUGGCCCCAUCAGAUGAUCCAGCAAUGCAGCAGUUUAUCUUCAACACCCAGCAGCAUUUGAAUUCAUACGCAAGGCAGGGCCUUCGUGUGUUAGUCAUGGCCAAGAGGAACCUCACUGAUGCUGAAUUCGAAGCGUGGCUCAUUCAACACAAAGACGCAGAAAUGAUGCAUGAUCGAGAACGCAGAGUCAGAGAGUCGUUCUGUCGGCUGGAGACGAAUCUUAUUCUUCUUGGCGCAACUGGCAUUGAAGACAGGCUUCAGGAUGGCGUGCCAGAGACCAUUGCGGCACUCCUGGAGGCUGGCAUUGUGAUUUGGGUGUUGACAGGUGAUAAGCAAGAGACGGCCAUCAACAUUGCCUACUCAGCAAAACUCUUUUCGCCUCAAAUGGAGCUCCUAAAAAUAUCAGCGAGAUCAAGGGACGCAGCUGAAAGCACCAUAACUGCCUAUUUGGAGGAUAUUGAGCGAGAACUGCCCAGAGGGUCGGGUCCGUCUUCAAACCCCUAUGCAUCGAUUGAUGAUUUGCCUCCACAUUUCCCCAAAAGAGCGCUUGUUGUUGACGGCAAGACUUUGACGUACAUUUUGGAUCAAAGAUCAAAUCUGAAAAAGCCUUUUCUCACGCUUACAAGGUUUUGCAGUUCAGUUCUGUGCUGCCGAGCAACUCCGUUGCAAAAGGCCUACAUUGUAAAAGUCGUCAAAGAGGUUCUCAAAAUGAGGACCCUUGCCAUAGGUGAUGGAGCCAACGACGUCUCCAUGAUUCAGACAGCAGACAUUGGUGUCGGAAUUUCAGGUCAAGAGGGCAUGCAGGCCGUGAUGGCUUCAGACUUUGCCCUUUCUAGAUUCAAGUAUCUUGAGCGCUUCCUUUUAGUCCAUGGCCACUGGUGUUACGACAGACUAGCCAGGAUGGUGCUGUACUUCCUGUACAAAAAUGCUACCUUUGUGUUCCUUAUCUUCUGGUACCAGCUGUAUUGCGGUUUUUCAGGCACAGUGAUGAUGGACCAAAUGUACCUAAUGCUUUACAAUCUUGUCUUCACCUCUCUUCCGCCAAUCGCAAUUGGAGUCUACGAUCAAGACGCUCCAGCAGAACUUCUGUUGUCGAAGCCUCGGCUCUACAAACAAGGUCGGCUUGGAUCCGUCUACAAACCAGCUUCUUUUUGGCUCACGAUGGCAGACUCUAUAUACCAGUCUUUGAUCAUGUUCUUUUUAACGCUAUUUGCGUACCAAGACACAACAGUUGGCAUAUGGGAGUUCGGAACAGCAAUCACAUCAACCUGCAUGUUUGUCAAUUUACUUCAUGUGGCUGUUGAAAUUAAAUCAUGGACCAUCAUUCACAUAUUAGCAAUGGCCGCCUCAAUUGGGGGUUUUUACACAUUUGCUUUUAUAUACAACUCUUUCUGUGUCAACUGCUUCGGCUUGCCAAGCACCUACUGGGUAGUCCACCAAACCCUGGGAAACAGUGUUUAUUGGUUCUCCACAAUUCUAGCCUCAGUACUGGCCCUUUUGCCAAGGUUUGUAAUCAAAGUGUUGAAGACGUGCAUGGCCCCGAACGAUGUGACCAAAGCACUUGUCGAGCACAGGAACAUCCGUAGAGGUAAACGCCUGCUCUAAAAUGUGCUGUCAAGAAACAAUUUUAACAUAUUUGGAUACGUGCCUACUAACAAUAUCGAACGAAUCUAGACAAAAGACUUUGAAGCCCGGCAGUCAAUUACCAGAAGUUGUCGGCUGACGUUGGCUCCCCGAACUUUUAUUCCCAUUAAUUUUUUAGAAGACUUUGCUGGCCUUGAACCCAGCGCUGUGAUAUCAGUACAUCCUUAAAUUAUUUGAAGAAUAUCUCUGUAAAUAUAGCUACGAGGAAAUUCAUUGAACUUGUAGCGUGAUAGUUUUUCAUUUUGUUGGUAUAACAUUCCGGAGGGCGCGGUGAGAGCAUUUAUUUUAAUAACCUUGAUCAAAAUCAUUACUAUCGUUUAGUUUCUCUGGGAAAAAUAGUCAUCAUGCUUCUGAAGCUGUUCUACUUGAAUGUUUUGAAUCAAUUUUUUACGAAUUAAAAUUUUUAGCUCAUCAUUAAUCAGAUUUUACUCUUUUUGUAAUUUUUUAUUCAAUCCAGCGAAUUGAGAAAAUUGACAAUACGCAAAGUACACCUGAGAGACAAAUUCAAUUAUUUUCAUACAUGGACCACACUAAUAAUGCUGCCUAUUGUACAGGCAUUUUGCGAAUGAUUUUGAAUCAAAGAAUUUUAAUGCUAUGUACCUCAGCCUUGCCGUUAACUUUUUAGUGAUAGAUCAAACGCAAGUAUAGUCUUUGUAUUUUCAUUUCCCUGCGCACCAAUUGGCCACCUGAGAGUGAAAAAUUAUAUUAGUUGAAUUGAAUAGUGGUAUAGUUGUGAUUUUUUUUCUUAAUUUGGGACCAUUUGGUGCUGCAAAGGAGAAACGGAAGCCUUGUUAAUAACUUUUGUUUUUAUAAAUAAGCAGUUGUAAAGUACGCAAAAGUGUAUUGAAUAAUUUAUAUUCUGUACUUAAAUAAAAUGCAGUAAUUUUCCAAA